UACGGAGGAUGCAAGCGUUAUCCGGAAUUAUUGGGCGUAAAGCGUCCGCAGGUGGCACUUCAAGUCUGUCGUCAAAGACCGGGGCUUAACCCUGGAAAGGCGAUGGAAACUGAAAGGCUAGAGAGAGGUAGGGGUAGAGGGAAUUCCCAGUGUAGCGGUGAAAUGUGUAGAGAUUGGGAAGAACAUCGGUGGCGAAAGCGCUCUACUGGGCCAUAACUGACACUCAGGGACGAAAGCUAGGGGAGCGAAUGGG
rnacentral:rRNA from 1 species